rnacentral:rRNA from 1 species
AGAGUUUGAUCCUGGCUCAGGACGAACGCUGGCGGCGUGCUUAACACAUGCAAGUCGAACGGUGACGAUCAAGCUUGCUUGGUCUGAUCAGUGGCGAACGGGUGAGUAACACGUGAGUAACCUGCCCCAGACUCUGGGAUAACCCCGGGAAACCGGAGCUAAUACCGGAUAUGACACCAGCCUGCAUGGGCAUGGUGUGGAAAGUUUUUCGGUCUGGGAUGGCCUCGCGGCCUAUCAGCUUGUUGGUGAGGUAGUGGCUCACCAAGGCGACGACGGGUAGCCGGCCUGAGAGGGCGACCGGCCACACUGGGACUGAGACACGGCCCAGACUCCUACGGGAGGCAGCAGUGGGGAAUAUUGCACAAUGGGCGAAAGCCUGAUGCAGCGACGCCGCGUGAGGGAUGACGGCCUUCGGGUUGUAAACCUCUUUCAGCAGGGAAGAAGCGAAAGUGACGGUACCUGCAGAAGAAGCACCGGCUAACUACGUGCCAGCAGCCGCGGUAAUACGUAGGGUGCGAGCGUUGUCCGGAAUUAUUGGGCGUAAAGAGCUUGUAGGUGGUUUGUCGCGUCUGCUGUGAAAAUCCGAGGCUCAACCUCGGACUUGCAGUGGGUACGGGCAGACUAGAGUGUGGUAGGGGAGACUGGAAUUCCUGGUGUAGCGGUGGAAUGCGCAGAUAUCAGGAGGAACACCGAUGGCGAAGGCAGGUCUCUGGGCCAUUACUGACACUGAGAAGCGAAAGCAUGGGGAGCGAACAGGAUUAGAUACCCUGGUAGUCG